rnacentral:lncRNA from 1 species
ACACACACACACACACACCACACACAACACACACACACACACACACACACACAACACACACACACACAGGCCUUGUGACGUUUCUGUCUAUGUUUCAAGCUCCGCACUUUGAUCACGAUCAUCUGAAGAUGGCUCCGUCUGCUUCACCACGACUGGACGACUUCCACGGAUACCACCGAGGAAGACGCCAGUCAGAGCCCUCCAGAGCUGCUGAUGUUCACGCCCGAACGCUCCAGGAAGAGUUUACCUCUGCUACUGGACGGAAACCUGCCGUACAGACGCAGCAGGAGGCAGUCGGCGGCCGGCCAAAGACCUUGAAGCAGCUUUUAAUUCAAACGCUCUCAAGGUACGAGCAAGUCCCACUCAGCUUCACUUUCACCCUUUAAACCGUAAAUAUGAUCAUAAAUCCCAUUAAGAACAAACCAUUCCCAGUAAAACCAGUUCAUAGAGCUCCAGUUCCUGUUUAUAAAGAGUAGCAUGUACAGUAGGCCAGUGACUAACAGUGUCCCAGCCUGCCACCAGG